rnacentral:rRNA from 1 species
UAUCUCUGUAGAGUCUGCAUAUCAAUAAGCGGAGGAAAAGAAACUAACUAGGAUUCCCUCAGUAACGGCGAGUGAAGCGGGAAGAGCUCAAAUUUGAAAUCUUCAAGGUUCUACCUUGACGAAUUGUAGUUUAAAGAAGUGUUUUCUGUUGGAGUUUUGGUAAAAGUUCUUUGGAAUAGGACAUCAUAGAGGGUGAGAAUCCCGUAUUUGACCAUUAUUUCCAGCUUUGUGAUACACUUUCAAAGAGUCGGAUUGUUUGGGAAUGCAGUCCAAAAUGGGUGGUAAAUUUCAUCUAAAGCUAAAUAUUGGCGAGAGACCGAUAGCGAACAAGUACCGUGAGGGAAAGAUGAAAAGAACUUUGAAAAGAGAGUUAAACAGUACGUGAAAUUGUCAAAAGGGAAGCGUUUGACACCAGUGUUGUUUCUACGAAAAUCAAUUAAAAAAGGCAGGGAUUUUGUGUUGUAUUGACUUUAUCAGCUUUCUGCACUUUUUUCCUGUCUUUUUUAAUGCACUUUUCGUUUAACAAGUCAACAUCAAUUUCUUUUGUUGUAAAAGGGUCAUUGGAAGGUGGCUUUCUUUUCGGAGAAAGUGUUUAUAGCCUUUGGCCUCUGCAAUCGGAGAGAUUGAGGUCUGCAGCGUAGAUCCUUCGGGGUUAGAUACAUUUGUGCUAAGUUAUAGCCAUUUCAUAGACAACUUGUUGACUAUGAUCAGUCAUGUAGCUUACUCGCUUAUGCUAUUUUACCUACGCUUAGGAUGUUGAGUCAUCACACAUCUCU